rnacentral:rRNA from 1 species
UACGUAGGGUGCGAGCGUUAAUCGGAAUUACUGGGCGUAAAGCGUGCGCAGGCGGUUUUGUAAGCCAGAUGUGAAAUCCCCGGGCUUAACCUGGGAAUGGCAUUUGGGACUGCAAGGCUGGAGUGUGGCAGAGGAGACUGGAAUUCCUGGUGUAGCAGUGAAAUGCGUAGAUAUCAGGAGGAACACCAAUUGCGAAGGCAGCUCGCUGGGACGCUACUGACGCUGAGACGCGAAAGCGUGGGGAGCAAACAGG